CAGCAUCCUCACAAACCCCCCAGCUGCAGCCUGUGGCUCCUGGGACAAGAGAGGGUGCAAGAUCAACGUUAGAAUCAUCCAAAACUGAGGGCCGAGCCGUCGCUCCCAGUUAUUUCACCUCUAAAACAGAA
ensembl:snoRNA small nucleolar RNA SNORA14